GACGAACGCUGGCGGCGUGCCUAAUACAUGCAAGUCGAGCGAGUCUGCCUUGAAGAUCGGAGUGCUUGCACUCUGUGAAACAAGAUACAGGCUAGCGGCGGACGGGUGAGUAACACGUGGGUAACCUGCCCAAGAGAUCGGGAUAACACCUGGAAACAGAUGCUAAUACCGGAUAACAACAGAUGAUGCCUAUCAACUGUUUAAAAGAUGGUUCUGCUAUCACUCUUGGAUGGACCUGCGGUGCAUUAGCUAGUUGGUAGGGUAACGGCCUACCAAGGCGAUGAUGCAUAGCCGAGUUGAGAGACUGAUCGGCCACAUUGGGACUGAGACACGGCCCAAACUCCUACGGGAGGCAGCAGUAGGGAAUCUUCCACAAUGGACGCAAGUCUGAUGGAGCAACGCCGCGUGAGUGAAGAAGGGUUUCGGCUCGUAAAGCUCUGUUGUUGGUGAAGAAGGACAGGGGUAGUAACUGACCUUUGUUUGACGGUAAUCAAUUAGAAAGUCACGGCUAACUACGUGCCAGCAGCCGCGGUAAUACGUAGGUGGCAAGCGUUGUCCGGAUUUAUUGGGCGUAAAGCGAGUGCAGGCGGCUCGAUAAGUCUGAUGUGAAAGCCUUCGGCUCAACCGGAGAAUUGCAUCAGAAACUGUCGAGCUUGAGUACAGAAGAGGAGAGUGGAACUCCAUGUGUAGCGGUGAAAUGCGUAGAUAUAUGGAAGAACACCGGUGGCGAAGGCGGCUCUCUGGUCUGUUACUGACGCUGAGGCUCGAAAGCAUGGGUAGCGAACAGG
rnacentral:rRNA from 1 species